rnacentral:ncRNA from 1 species
GGCGGCGCCGGAAGCGCUGCCGGAGAAAGGAG